rnacentral:rRNA from 1 species
GGGCCCUUUGGGCUGCUAUACAUGCAGUCGAGCGGACAGAUGGGAGCUUGCUCCCUGAUGUUAGCGGCGGACGGGUGAGUAACACGUGGGUAACCUGCCUGUAAGACUGGGAUAACUCCGGGAAACCGGGGCUAAUACCGGAUGGUUGUUUGAACCGCAUGGUUCAAACAUAAAAGGUGGCUUCGGCUACCACUUACAGAUGGACCCGCGGCGCAUUAGCUAGUUGGUGAGGUAACGGCUCACCAAGGCGACGAUGCGUAGCCGACCUGAGAGGGUGAUCGGCCACACUGGGACUGAGACACGGCCCAGACUCCUACGGGAGGCAGCAGUAGGGAAUCUUCCGCAAUGGACGAAAGUCUGACGGAGCAACGCCGCGUGAGUGAUGAAGGUUUUCGGAUCGUAAAGCUCUGUUGUUAGGGAAGAACAAGUACCGUUCGAAUAGGGCGGUACCUUGACGGUACCUAACCAGAAAGCCACGGCUAACUACGUGCCACCAGCCGCGGUAAUACGUAGGUGGCAAGCGUUGUCCGGAAUUAUUGGGCGUAGAGGGCUCGCAGGCGGUUUCUUAAGUCUGAUGUGAAAACCCCCGGCUCAACCGGGGGACGGUCAUUGGAAACUGGGGAAAUUGCGUGGCAGAAAAGGAGAUGGCGACUUCCCCGUGCAACGCUGAAAUGCGACAA